CGACGUUAAUGGCAGAAUUAUGUUGUCCAGCUCCUAUAUUACUAGGCAAAGACUUUGAAGCUGCCGGAGGCUUUAUUUCAAGGUAUCCCAUGCCAAAUUCUUCAUCUGUAACCCAAGAAGGCUUUCUAGCAGCCAAAGCGGCAGCAACACCAGUUGCCAACACUUUAAGAUCCUCUCUUUCAUCGCUUUUGAUCCUGGCCACUCGCUUUUCAAGGUUAAUCCCACUCCUUUUGGUAACUGGGAAAACACCAGAAAUUUUCGUCAACAGAAU
rnacentral:misc_RNA from 1 species